GUUGGCUAAUCCUGGUCGGACAUCAGGAGGUUAGUGCAAUGGCAUAAGCCAGCUUGACUGCGAGCGUGACGGCGCGAGCAGGUGCGAAAGCAGGUCAUAGUGAUCCGGUGGUUCUGAAUGGAAGGGCUGCAG
rnacentral:rRNA from 1 species